GCGGAUGUGGCGGAAUUGGCAGACGCGCUAGAUUCAGGUUCUAGUGGCCGCAAGGUCGUGGAGGUUCAAGUCCUCUCAUCCGCAC
rnacentral:tRNA from 5 species